rnacentral:lncRNA from 1 species
UCCUGCUCAUUUGCAUGAUAUUGAUUAUUUUAUUUAUAUGAGAUAUUGUGUUUUAUCAUUUGCUGCAUCAUAUUUUAUGAUUAUAAUAAACCUCAUAAAUUAGGACAAUAAUUUUAAGAUCAUGAUGAGAUCGUGCCAGUAAGACCUAAAAUCUUGAUAGCCCCAAUCUAAAAUGUUCUCAGUCGUUGGAUCAUCAAGUCGGAGAUCGAUGAUGCCAGUAAGACUGGUACAUCCUAUGCAUGCUCAAUGGAGAGGAUGAUUGAUCUCACA